UGAAAAAGAUAUCUAAAAGUAGAUUUGUUAUCUCCUGAUGAGUAAAACUGGAUGUUUUGUGGUAUUCUUUUGGAUUUGUGGGAGGAUGGGAAUGAAUUCAAGAUUGCACAAGGAAGUGACUGAGUUAGCUACAGAAGGUGAACUUGGAGAGCAAUUGUCUCCUUCCCCAGGCUCCACGGUCUUGAUGGUCCAUUCUCUGCUGCCCUCUAGAGGUUCAUCAGCCAUCAUUGCAAAUGUCAGAAAAGGAAAUCUACUUAGGCAAAGCUUGCAGAAAACUCCUCUCCCCAUUCAAUAACAAAGAAAACAGCACAUCAUUUGUGGGGUAUAUAUUGAUAUCUAUAGUUCCUAUGAACCAUCUCCAGCCCAGUUUAAGAAGAAAUCAUUCUUACGGUCUUGGAGUCCGCCUCUUCAGAAGGGCACCCAGGGGAAUGCCACCCCCACAAGCUAGUUAUUUAAAGGAAUAAAAGCAGCUGCAAUAUGGUCAUUGCUGGUGUGUCUGCUGGAACGUCCCGCUUUAUUUUCUUUCUCAGAAACAAAAGCAAAGAUGCCCUGGUGAGCCAUACCUCUAAGCCUGUGUUUUUU